rnacentral:rRNA from 1 species
AGAACGAACGCUGGCGGCAUGCCUAACACAUGCAAGUCGAACGAGACCUUCGGGUCUAGUGGCGCACGGGUGCGUAACGCGUGGGAAUCUGCCCUUGGGUUCGGGAUAACAGUUGGAAACGACUGCUAAUACCGGAUGAUGUCUUCGGACCAAAGAUUUAUCGCCCAAGGAUGAGCCCGCGUAGGAUUAGCUUGUUGGUGAGGUAAGAGCUCACCAAGGCGACGAUCCUUAGCUGGUCUGAGAGGAUGAUCAGCCACACUGGGACUGAGACACGGCCCAGACUCCUACGGGAGGCAGCAGUGGGGGAAUAUUGGACAAUGGGCGAAAGCCUGAUCCAGCAAUGCCGCGUGAGUGAUGAAGGCCUUAGGGUCGUAAAGCUCUUUACCCGGGAUGAUAAUGACAGUACCGGAGAAUAAGCCCCGGCUAACUCCGUGCCAGCAGCCGC